rnacentral:lncRNA from 1 species
CGUGCGGCUUCUACUGCGGCUGCGCAAGCUCGACGCGCGCACUCUUGUCUGCUUACGAGGGCUCCUCCCUUCAGCUUUGGUCCCUCGGGGCGUCUGGGCAGCCUACGCUUUCCGGAUAAAAAUGGCAGAAUGAAAGAAUUAUGAGUGGAACUAGAGAAUAGGAAAGACAUGAACCAACGCCCAAAAUGAGAAAGAAGGACAUAUAAAGAAAAAGACAAAUACAAGUGAAAAAAAUAGACUAAUGGAUUAACGUCCCUGUCGUGUGACAUUUUCUGGUAUGACAGCUGAAGAUGUUGAACCGUAUGGUGCAGUUUUGCAAAUAGUGUAUGAAGUGGGUUACUAUGGAAAUGAUAUUAGACAAAAAGCAACUUCAAGUGGUUUUCUUAUUUGAGUUCAAAAUGGGUCAUAACGCAGCAGAGAUAACUUGAAACAUGAACAGCGCAUUUGGCCCAGGAACUACUAACGAACAUACAGGGCAGCUGUGAUUCAAGAAGUUUUGCAAAGCAGACUAGAGCCUUGAAUAUGAGGAACACAGUGGCCAGCCAUUGGAUGCUUCACUUCUUGAAGCAUCUUGACAGCUUUUUGCAGGUGAAAUGCUUCCACACCAGCAGGAUGCAGAAAAAUGCUUUCCAAGAGUUUGUUGAAUCCAGAAGCAUGGAUGUUUAUGCUGCAGGAAUAAACAAAUUUAUUUCUCGUUGGCAAAAAAGUGUUGAUUGUAAUGGUUCCUAUUUUGAUUAAUAAAGAUGUGUUUGAGCCUAGUUAUAAUGAUUUAAAAUUAAUGGUCCAAAAAUGCAAUUACUUUUGCACCACCACCAACACACACACACACCUACACAUUCUGGAUUUGAAUUCCAUGUUGAUUAUAUGCACUUGGAAUAUUUCUUUUCCAUCUGUGGAUUGUUCUGUCACUUAUUUUCUUUAAUAAAUGGGUUUCUGAACCUCUGUUGUAUUGACAUUUUGGGUCAGAUUAUUCUUUGCUGUGUAGGCUGUUCUAUGCCUUGUAGGGAUGUUCAGCAACAUCCCUGGCCUCUAUUGGCCAGGUGCCGGUAGUACCCCUCCAGUCAUGACAGUCAGCAGUGUUUCCAGACAUUGCCUAGUUUCUCCUGGGGGGCACAAUUGCCCUAAGUUGAGAACCACUGGUUAUAGUGACUUUGUUG